rnacentral:rRNA from 1 species
ACGGAAGGCAGCAGUGGGGAAUAUUGGGCAAUGGGCGAAAGCCUGACCCAGCAACGCCGCGUGAAGGAAGAAGGCCUUCGGUAUGUAAAGCUCUUUAAGCAGAGAAGAUAAUGACGGUAUCUGCAGAAUAAGCACCGGCUAAAUACGUGCCAGCAGCCGCGGUAAUACGUAUGGUGCAAGCGUUAUCCGGAUUUACUGGGUGUAAAGGGAGCGUAGGUGGUUUGGCAAGCCAGAAGUGAAAACCCGGGGCUCAACCCCGUGGAUUGCUUUUGGAACUGUUGAACUAGAGUGCAGGAGGGGUAAGUGGAAUUCCCAGUGUAGCGGUGAAAUGCGUAGAUAUUGGGAGGAACACCAGUGGCGAAGGCGGCCUACUGGACUGUAACUGACACUGAGGCUCGAAAGCGUGGGGAGCAAACAGGAUUAGAUACCCUGGUA